rnacentral:rRNA from 1 species
AACGCUAGCUACAGGCUUAACACAUGCAAGUCGAGGGGCAGCAUUUCAGUUUGCUUGCAAACUGGAGAUGGCGACCGGCGCACGGGUGAGUAACACGUAUCCAACCUGCCGAUAACUCGGGGAUAGCCUUUCGAAAGAAAGAUUAAUACCCGAUGGUAUAAUUAGACCGCAUGGUCUUGUUAUUAAAGAAUUUCGGUUAUCGAUGGGGAUGCGUUCCAUUAGGCAGUUGGUGAGGUAACGGCUCACCAAACCUUCGAUGGAUAGGGGUUCUGAGAGGAAGGUCCCCCACAUUGGAACUGAGACACGGUCCAAACUCCUACGGGAGGCAGCAGUGAGGAAUAUUGGUCAAUGGGCGAGAGCCUGAACCAGCCAAGUAGCGUGAAGGAUGAAGGUCCUACGGAUUGUAAACUUCUUUUAUACGGGAAUAAAGUAUCCUACGUGUAGGAUUUUGUAUGUACCGUAUGAAUAAGCAUCGGCUAAUUCCGUGCCAGCAGCCGCGGUAAUACGGAAGGUCCAGGCGUUAUCCGGAUUUAUUGGGUUUAAAGGGAGCGUAGGCCGUCUGUUAAGCGUGUUGUGAAAUGUAGAUGCUCAACAUCUGAAUUGCAGCGCGAACUGGCAGACUUGAGUGUGCGCAACGUAGGCGGAAUUCGUGGUGUAGCGGUGAAAUGCUUAGAUAUCACGAAGAACUCCGAUUG